rnacentral:lncRNA from 1 species
GACCAAAAAGUCUUAUCUUCUCUUCCUUUGAAAGAAACCAUCAAAAGUUCCUUUUUUUUUUGCCUUUUUAUGUUUCCCAAUCUGUUGUUGGUUAAGUGGCGCCCUCAAGUUGCUUUGAUGAAUCAAAGACCUUCGUUAAGAAAAAUAUAGGAUAUACUUUUGAAUGUUCUUUGUCCCUCCCUCAACAUAAGACUUGAUACAUGUCUUUAAUUUGUAUACUUUGUUAGCUUGUUGUUCCUGUUUCUUUUGAUGUUCAAAACCUCAAACGAGAAGAAAAAAAAAAUAGUAAACAACCAACCAUCUCCUGUAUGUAAGUAGCAGCCAAUUUUGGAUUUAUUUUUAACUAUUUUAAGCUUCUUUUUUUCCCGAAUGUAACAACCUCACAGAUUGUUCUAUUCUAUAAUCUUGUUUACUUCCAUGAGAGAAUAACCAAAAUUUGCUCGCCAUCUUUGACUUCGUCCUUCUUGAAAAUGAAAUCUAUCAACUAAAUGAUAUGUAGUCAGCCACAAACCAUAGCUCGUUGUUUUUUUAUUUUUUAUAGUAAUCAACUCAUUUUAUUUCAUUCAAUAAUUGGUUUACAAUUCAGGAUGGAGUAUGAUAGAAAUUUUGAACACCGGCAUAUAAAUUAGAAGCCCUAUCUUGCUCAUUCCUGCACCCAUUUAUUAAUAAUUUUUAAUCAUAAAUUAAAUUGUAUGAAUAAUAUGUAAUCCCACGUGUCAAUGGCACUAUAUUUAUUCCUCUAUUGCUGCUAACAUAAAAAAAGGGGAUUAAAUUAAAUGGUUAUAAAAAAUGUAACUUCUGACAUCCAAAUUUCAUGACAAGUAUUUUACACACAAUGCUUUGGAGUCGGUUGAAUUUAUUUAUUUAUUUGAUGCCAAGUUCGAAUUCAUGCUUUAAUUCAAUAAUUUCUAAAAGUUAGGCAUUCAUAAAUUUAUUUAAUUUUGGUUUACUCUAUUUCAGUAUUUUUCUGGGUUAUUCCAAUGCUCUUACUCUUAUUUUGGUUCACUCUAUUUCUGCGCUGAAAAUUCUUUUUCAAGCUUCCUAACGGUUGUUUUGAACAAUGUGUAUUCUUUUUUACCGUCGGAUAAUGCAAAAAGCUAUUAAUAGUUCACAUAAUUUUGCUACAAAAUAGUGUUACAAGACGAGGAGAAAUAGCAUAACUUGAAAAAAAAAACAGCGAAUGCUAUAUGAAACAUAUGGAACAUUGCAUAUAAAUUACAAAUGAAACGCACAAUAUAUAGUGACUUGCACGAAGAAAUGUAUGAAAAUAGCAAGUCAUUUACCUAACAGAAAUUCCACUCAUUUGUUUAUUCCACCAUUAAAUUUACCCUUUUGAAUGUAUAAAGUCGUAUCAAAAUUAUCAUACAGAAACAUCCUCCCAAAUAAAAACCAUAAAUACUUUUAAAUAGUGUAUGACUAAACUUUCUUAAACUGAGUAAUUCUAUUCAGACCUUUCCCUUAACAAUUCUCACCUGAUUUAAAUCACUCUUAAUUUCAAAUGGCAGGUAUGGCAACAUACUGAUAGGAUAGAAAGAUAUAUAUAGUGUUUAAAGUUUCUUAGGUAUUACAACUUUAUUUCCAUCACCACAAAAAUAGCUAGUUGAUGUAAUUGGUAGCAAACUUGUGUGUUUCUGUUCUCUAUCAACUUUAGUCCUUGUUGACCUUUUCUAGACAACUUGGGUGAAGGUCAUAGUCACAGACAUCACAAGAGAAUGUCCAAAACUUGCCUUGCUUUUUACAUGAAUCACAUACAUAUGCUUUGGCCAUAUCCAAUUUCAGUACAUGUUCAUGCUUCACAUCCUCAACCUGCUGAGGCAAAGCCUCUCCUUCCUUUCUAAGAGCUGCUUCGAGGUCUCUUAUCCGUGAUUCGGUGAACGGGAAAGCUUCUGCACCGUAUGAGGAGACCAUUAACUUCCCAUUCACACUAAUGACUUUGCCAUCUGGUCCAAUGAGAACCAAAGCAGGAAUGCCCUUUACAUCAAAGAUUCUUCGAAGGUCAUGCCUUGUCCUGUCCUCGUAUGGGACAGCAAGCCAGGGCAUACUACUUUUGUUGACAUUGAAUUCCUCAAGGUCUCUAUCUGUUGAGAUUAAAACAAUCUCAAAGCAGUCGCCUUUUUCCACCUUGAGAUUGUUGUAUGCAUCGGUAAGUUGGACAGUGAAGGCGCAGCAAGGAGGAGACCAAUAGGCCCCAAAAUAAAGGCCUAUGGUUUUACCAGCUAGUUCAGAUAUGGGCACCUGCAACAAUGAGACAUGUCAAUGUCAUAUGUGUGUAACCACUACAUAGUGAACAACAACUAUAAGCAGGGAAUUAGGCUACCUUUCUAUCAUCUCCUGAGAUGAGAAAGUGGCACCCUUUGUGUCCCAAUAAUUCUUCCAAGUUUGCUUCCUCACGCUUCCUUAUAUCUAUGGCUUUCAAUUCCUCAUGCCUCUUCCUUGUGAAAGGAAAUGCAUCAGCACCAUAAUCCUCAAUGCAUCCAAUCAAGUCUUCUUCAAUGGUUAUGCCAUCUGAACAUAAUGGAACGAAUGAUGGGAUUCGAUCAAUUCGGUAUCUGUCAAUCAGUCUUCUGUGCAAACUUACAUCAAAUGGGACGGCUAGCCAUGGCAUGUUCUUGAAGUGUUCUUUAAAUCCAUCCUCAUCACGGUCAAAGGAGAUGAAGAUGAUCUCUAGAUUUAUUCCCCUCUUUCUCAGUGUUUCAUAAAGUUCAACAAGACGGGGAAUGAAAGCUCUGCAAGGUCUACACCAGUUUGCAGUGAAAAAUAGGCAUAUAAUUUUCCCAUUGCAUUCUGAUACGGGUACCUAAUCUCAUGAUUCAUAGAUGGCAAGCAUUAGCUACAGUAACCAAGAUCACAAAUAUGCAAAUGAUGAGAUUUGUUUUUCAAUGUUGGAUUUUACUCUUUUAUUUACUUGGGGAGAGAAAAAAAGAGAGAACCUUUCGAAGAUGAUUUAGAAGUUAAACUACUUAAGCUGUCAGUUGAUCUCAACUUUAAUCUCUUAACUAGCUUAUUGUCUAAUCAACACACACACACAAAUAACAGAAGGAGGGUUCUGAAGAAACUAAGCUACCUUUCCUUCACAAGAUAAAAGGAAUUCAACACCUUCAGCUGCAAAUAUCUUCAGAAUAUCAUGGUUGUCAGUAUAUGUGGCUUCAAAAUUUAACCCUGCCAUCAGAGCUUGAUAAAAACAGAUGUUCUCUCCUUUUAUAAGCUUUCUUGAAACCUAAUUGAUCAAGAGAAAAAUAUGAGUUUUGAUAGUAAAAUCCAACAUGGACAAUAACACGGUAGUAUCAGUAGGACCUUGAAUUUUAACUCUCACUGUAGUUAAUACUUUUGCAAAUUGCAAGGGCAGAAAGACCUUGAGACAAAAGCAGUUCAGAUUCUGUACAAGGGCAUCUUUGGCUCUUUAUUAAAUUUCACAAUUUGUCUGAAGCUGUCCUUCAAUUAAGAUUGGAAGGAAGCAGAGUGGAAAAAUCUUAUACGAUAGCUAUGUGAACCAAACUUGGAGGACAGAAAUUUCUGAAGUGGGAAGCAAGCAAGACUUAACAAAGAGAACAAAAUUUGAUGAUCUGUAUGAAAAUAUGAAUAUGGGGGAAUAUUCCCUAGGAGGGUGCUUCAGUUCAGUCUUUAAAACCAGACAAAGGCUUGCGUACACGCCUUCCAAAUGGAACAGCAUCACACUCUCUAAACCACAUGCAAAUGGUUCUGAUGAUCAGUGAUUCUAAUAUAACUCAAUUGGAAAAUGCUUCAUACAUAGAUAGAAAGAGUCACAUCUCCUCAUAUCUUACAUGCCAGAAUUAGAAUACAUACAUGUGUGUAAAAGUUUAGGUGGGUCCAACUGUAAUUAGUAGUGUUUUGGAUUGGCGGUGAGAACCCAAAAACCAAACCACGGUGUCGCACCGUGAUUUUCCACCACACCAAGAAGCAUUUCUGAACUCCUAAGUUACUAAUCCUUGCAUUCAAGUGGAUUUUAAUGGAUCCAAAAGGAGGAGAAGAAGAUUAAAACCACUCUUAUCUAUUAUUCUUUAGAGAAUAUUUUGAUUUUUUGCAUCAAAACCAAUCAUUAGGCAUGAAUUCAUUAAUAACAUAAGCGUCAUGCAUCAAAGCAUCACUUUUAAGAGGGCAAAAGAAUAAAACUGUUGCAAAAGCAAUCCAAGGUAGACACAAGUGAUAAGUGAUAAGUGCACAUAAACAAGUGACUGGUUGAUAAAGUUUCAAUUUUUAAAGUAAAAAAAAAUUACCUUGCAGCUGCAGCUGAAGAAGAAUACCAGCGGAUAAAGAUAGAGAGAGAAGGAAGAAAUUGAGUCUCCAAGACAAAAGGAGAUGAUGAAGAAGAGCGUUGGACACUCAAGAGCUUUAAAUAUCAAGUUGAUAUGGCGUGAUCAAGGCUCCGAAAAUUUUCAAUACACACAUAAAAAGUGAAUAUUUUAGAAUAUAAAAAAAGAAAAACACAUCAUAAUUUUACUUUCAGGUUUAUAAAUAUGUUCUUUUUUUAUAUGCCAUUCAGCUGAAUCAUUACAACCUGAAAUUAAUGUUAAUUUUCGCAAAACACCCAUCUGCAGACAGAACAAAAUAUACUGAUAUUAUGGUUACAAACUUACAAUAAUUACUUUCUUUUAUUUUCAUUUCUUUUUAGUCUUUUAAAAGAUUAAACAAUACGGAUAUUUUAUUUAUUUGUCUUCAGUUAUGUCGUUUUAUGUAUUGGAGAUGGUGCAUAUGCUCUGCUUGUAAAACGGAUGUGCUGACAAAACUGAGGAUUAUCGGGUGCGGCUGCAGAUACGUGUAUCCAACUUUUUUCUUCUAUGAACUAAAUACAAGUCUCAUUUAACUAAAUAAAUAAAUUUUUCUAUCUUCUUUAUAAAUAAUAAUGUGCUUACUGUUAUUCUAUCAUUGAAGAUUUUCUUUUCUGGUCACAAUCACAGGUGAUCAAACCAGUCCAACACGGUGAAAUGGAAGAUAGAUCCGUCACUUGGUUGUUACCAACCUUUUUUAAAUCUGAGAUGCUGGAAAAACGAAUGGUCCAACCUGAGAAGUGUGAAUACACUGUUUUGAAGGAUUUAUUCACAUAAUACAAUAAAAAGUUUCUGAAACAAAACCAAGGCAACACAACUAACAAGCCAAUUUAUGUUAUUGUCAACUUAUUAACUUAGUGUAAGUUUGUUUCACCAAUUAUUUGUUUAUUCUAAUAUUAAGUAAGUACUUCUUAACAAAGGUGAGCAUAAAUUUUCCGAAUAAAAACAUUAUCCGUGGAAAAAAAAAUUGUCCCCUAAUUUUCUGUUAAAAAAGCUUGUUAACUUAAUGCUCACGUAAAUAAAACGGUGGUUUAAUAGCAUUAUAAAAAACGAUCAUUAAAAAAACUGUUUAUUAUAACUCACUUUAAAGUUUGAAAGUCAAAUUAAUCCAAAAAAAAAAUUCUUUGAAAGCCUGUUAUCACACGCACAAGAAGGGUGAGGGACAAAUCCACAGAUUUGUACUGCAUCUGUACCCACGAGGUCCAAUCUUAUGUGCAUAAGUUCAUACCUCUUAUAAACUACUUUGAAAGCCUUUAAAACAAGUUAAAUAAAUAAUCAAACAAAGUUCAACAAGAUAAUGUUGAACAUAUUGCCUUUUGAAAUAUCCCUAAAUAUCACAUCAGCUUUCGGUGAUAGCCUUGAUAAAAGAAAUAAAUAAAAUUGUGUGGUGUGUUUCGUUCAAUAAUUAAUAUACAUAUAAAAUGAUCAAUAGAUAAAUUAAAUCAUGACACAAUUCAUCAUUUAAUAACUACCUAAUUUUUCGUUACAAACUCCACAUCACAUCAACUGAUCAACACAUGAUAAUAUGCUCUUUUCUGAAUUUGUCAAAAAUAAUAAUAAAAAUAUGAAAUAUCAGCCAACCUUAACUCACAAAUCACAAUAAAGUUAUGAUUUACUUAGUUUAAAAUAUGGCUUGAAAAAAUUAAGUUAUUUCGACUCGUGUGUUCAGUGGAUUUGACCAGAAUGACAGGUGGUUUGUCUUAUUGGAUAUAAAAAUUAUAAAUUGUUAUAUAAAUUGAUAACUUACGAGUUAAAAUAGAAUUUAAAUUUGAUGAUUAUUAAGUUAUACUAACAUUUUUUUUUACUUUUGUAACCUAAGUCUAAUGUUCACGCUGAAAAUAAAAUUAUACCAAUUCAUGUAAAAAUCAAGGGGCUUUGUGGUGAAAGGGAACACCCCCCCCUCCCCCUUUAUUAAUUAUAAUAUAAUUAAUUACUAAUAAAAAGUUUAUUUUAGUUGUAUAUGAAAGAGGUGGAAAGCAUGUAAGGAAAUUAAGAAAAUUAUUUCUUAGACUGUUAGGGGCAUAUAAAGAAUGGCUUAGUCUCUUAAUUAUUUUGAAAAUUAUAAAUACACAUAUAUCUAGUUUAAAUAUAUAUUUAUGAAUUUCAUUUACAUGUUUAACUAGACAUUUAUAGAUAUUAUUUAUUUUUAUUUAUAGAUAUAUAUUUAUUUUUAUUAACUUUAUUUUUUAUAUUUUUAAUAGAAAAUAACGUUUGAUUAAUAGAAACUUAUACGAGAUACCCCGACCACGAAUAAUCUGAUUGGAUCUCUGAUGUAAAAUCAGUAAACCAACCAUGUUAUUAACUUAUAUUUUUUAUAUUUACUUUAUUUUUUGUUUAUAAAAUAUUAAAAAAUUAUUCAAAAGGAUAGUAUUUAAUAAAGUUAAAAUAUUACUCGGAAUAACAUAAGUUCGAGAAAUGAUGAGAUAAAAAAAAAAAAGUAGCAUUGUCUACAAUGAGAUGACCGAUGAGAUAGGUCAGAUGAGAUAAGGCCUUAAAAAGGUAAGGAAAAGGAUAUUAAAUUGGAUGAUAUAAACUGCAGGUGAAAUUGAAAUUGCUGACAAAUAAUAAUAAAAUCGAGAGAGAGAGAGAGAGAGAGAAAUAGCAUAAAUCGGACGGUACAAACCAGGAGAUGACUCAAUGCUUAUCCACUACUUGCAGGUCUAGAAAAUGAUACAAUAUGACAAUGACCCAUGGGUUAAUAAUUUAUCAGUUUUUCUUUCGGGAGGCCCUCGAAAACAUGUCUUUGAUGUUGUGUGAUUCUGUCUCCAAUUUUACCUUCUUUGCUUGUCUACCUUUCUUUGCAGUUGUAGCCUUCUUAUCAUUACUCUGUUCCUGAUCAAUUUAGUAGUAAACAAAUAAAUACAAAACAAAAUAGCAAAUCCAAAGAUUCAUUCUUCUCCUGUCCCAGCAAAUACCUGUAAUUCAUUACGUAAACCUGGGUUACUUUCUUCGGCAUUUACUUGUGCUUUUCCAGUAACCUCGAGUAUAUUUAACCUGCAAAAGAAAAAAUCUCCUUAAGGCAUUUUAAAGGAAUUCCAUUCCAACCCGACUAUGGUUUCUCUUAUGAAUUAUAAUCAAAAUGAAUAUACAAGUAAAAUCUUUUAAAUAAGACAUUCUGAAAGGCUAUACUUAAGAUGGUCACACAAAAGCUGCAACCAAGGCUUUUCCUUCAAAUACUCUCCUAAUAUGGAGACUGCAUCAAUCACUGCAUCAGUAACACAAGUACGUUAAUGCACAGCAAAACUGUGAUAGAAAAAGACCAGAGGUGCAUUUCAAGUAUUAAGAGAAGCAUCUACAUUAAUAUUUACUUUCAAGGGAUAGGGGAGUGUUGUCAAGGAUGAUAUUGGUGCUUCAAUUAUUGAAAUACACAACUGCACAUGAAGCAUCAAAAUAGACGUGUAUUUUGCUCAUGCACCAAUCCAGAAUGAGACGAAGUGUAUUCUUAAUUGGUAACCCCUCAAACAAGGUAGAAAAACAGUAACCACUAGUAUGGUUUUCACAUAGUUGAAAAGUUGAUAGCCUAUUAACAAUAAGGAUAAAUUCAGCUAUACUAUUUCCAUCUCCCAAAAUCAACCAACACAACAUGUAAAUUAUUUGUUUCAAUGCAAUAUACCGUAUAACAUAUCUGUUGAGAAAUAUUUUAGCUGUAUUCACACAAAAUAGAUACGCUAGUUCCACCAGUUGCCAUUGUAUCCCUCAUCACUGUCGUACAUGUAUUCACAGACACAGUACAGUCAAAGGCAUAAUCUUAACGCAUAUGCACAAGCACACAUUUCAAGGGCCACAGUAUAAGUCUACCCUUUUCAUAUUUCACAAAGUACUUAUCUCUUUUUUUUCAAUUUAAACUAAAGAGAAUAAAAUUCUCCGAAAGCCAACAGAACAGAAUGGUAAUAAACACUUUACAUGUGUCUUUCUCUGAUUGAACAGCAUAGUUUUUGUCCAAUUUGGGUAGUGUCUGUUUUAGCUGACAAACCUAAAAUAAGAAAAAUCAAAUUAACAAACUCUGAUACAGGUAAAAAGUUUUCUAGCAAUUAAAUCAAAGAUGGUCAAACAUAAGUCCGGAGAUAAAUAGAAGUUUGAAAGCAAACCUUCUAUAAAGCAAUUCAAGUAUUUCGUACGUUGCUUUAUAGAUGGCUACUUGUAACAGCAAUCAAACAGAAGCUAGAUAUGAUUCCUUAAUGAUGAAGAGUUAAUAGUGUAAUGAAAUAGACGAGACAUGUGUUCAGUCUUUACAUUUUCGUGAAAAAAACAUCACGAAGUUCAGGUAUCCAUAUGCUAAAUAUCAUACCUCCUUAAUAGUUCAUGGAGGGUGGGAUAUGCUGUGCAAAUACCAUAUCAUGCAUAUACUAGUUUUGUUCCGCCUAAGAGGGGCGGGGGGGAUUAUCAUAUAAACUAAAUGAUAGUUAAGGAAAUAAAGACAAACCUUAUAGCACAGCCAACGUAGAACCUUUGAGUCAUCAAGUCUGAAAAAUUUUGAAGAUCCAAUUUCUGCAUGUGCAUAAAGAAAGAAGUCCAUGAGAAUUAUCAAUGUGGUCACCAUACAUUUCUGUCAUCACCAGUAUAAAAACGUAAAGCCAACAACAAACUUCUCAUUUUCUUUCCAUAAUAUCUGCCCAAUAAAUUACUUAAAACAUAAGAAAACUUGGCAAACUUUCAAAUCAAGUUGUAAAUAGAGAGUACAAGAAUAUGGUCACCUUUGACUUCAGAAACUACUAGCAUACAGUUCUCCACAACAGACAUCAACUGCAUAUAUCCUGGAUACCCAUCAAUAAACAAUAUCUCAUCCAGUUGCCUGAACCUCCCAAGAUCAUCCCCUUUCUGCAAGAAACCAGUGAUAUUCAGAAAUAUAAAUUUUGGGGGGGGGGGGGGAACACAGCUAGACCUAAUUAAUCCAUUCACAACCUAAAAAGUAGAAGUUCUGUGGACCUCACAAACAAGGGAUAUCUUGGACUUUGUGUAGAGGUUCCUUUGUGGAUAAACCUAAAAUUAUUAGUCUGGGUGAAUUCUACACUUUAAGGUGUCAUAUGUGCGACUAAAACUUAUAUUCUGUUUCAUCAGCAAUAGUUGAGCAAGUAUUUAAACAAAUGGAAAAGACUUUGGAAAUAAGAAAUGUCUUCCAACUCCCAUUGGUUCAAAAGAAACAUAAAAAUAAUUACCUUCAUUCUAGCUUCCUCAAAUAUAGGCAACAUGAUGAAAACAGGAUCAAUUGGUGUGGAUAAAUACAUCCGACCAUCUGUUGGACAACAAAAACAAUAACAAUGAAAAGAAUUCCACUUGCUGUUUUACUAUAGUUUCUUCAUGAGACUACUAACAUAACAAGAGGAAUCACAAUGCUUUCAUUCAGACAAAGAACAGGAGAUUUUUAAAUUUUUUGAAGUGUUGAUUAGAAUUACAAGAAUAUGGCAUUGGCAUACCAGGGACAAAAAAAUAUUUUUAAGAAAGUAGAUAAGAGAUCAAUUAGAGAAAGUAAUGUACCUCAUGAAAUAUAAAGAUAAAUAACAAUGUAAAUUGUAAAAUGAAUCUUAGACAAUCAAACAUGUACCUUCAGUUAUAUAAUCUCCCAAAAACCAAGAUCCAUACAAGUUCUUAAACCACUGAAGUUCCUGAAGCAUUCCAUUUACAAACAGAUAUUGUGUUGCAUUUCCUGUCAAACAAGUGAAAACAUAUGAAAAAGCCAAGAGAGAGCACACAUUCAAAAGCCUCAAUAAGUACGAUAGUAUUAACAAAACUGAACACAUUCAAAUGUUAACAACAUAUUAAGAAAUUGAGUUGAUAUAGACAAUUACAAUAAAUCAUAUAUUUAUAUAAAUUUAAAUAUAAAUAACAAAAAACACGAUAAGAAGUAAUAAAGUAAUGGAUACUCUUCAAAUUACCAGAUUUGGGAUGGCGGAGCGAUAUCAUCUGUCCCAGACCAUUUCCAUCAGUACCAGGAUCUGCACUUGCAUAAGAACAACUAAUUAAAUAAAAUGCAUUAACACAACAACACAUGAUAGUAGAGUAAUGCAAAAACAAUUCAAAAAAAAAAAAAAGAUUCCCAAACAGCAUAAAUAACAAUCAGAAUGUGGUCACAUAAAAAGAAUAUAAAAAUUGAAAUAACUAAUCAGCAGCUACAACUUAGCGAUGCCAGAGUGGCAUAUAUUAACCAUCGGAAACUAUAAAACAGCAGCAUAUAUUUGUUCAAUUUAAUUAUGGUAUUGUUUUUCCUGUUCAUAUGUUUUCUCUAAAAAGUGACUAUAAUUUUAUUAUAUGGAAAAAAAAGAAAAGAAAAUGUUGAAAAUUAUGAAGGAAAUGUAAUUUUACCGGGUGCGACGAGAAUCCGUGGUUCCUGAACGCUAUCACACCAACUCAUGGGUUUAGCAGAAGAGGAUUCAAAAGCCCUAACACAGCCAGUCACCGAUCGUUCCCUCCCCCGGUAACUUUAACUGUAACGGGAUACUGUUAAUUUCAGAUGUAGAAAGAACAAGAACGGAAUAAAGAAAGAAUGCUUUACAUUAUAUAAAAAAAAUAGUAGGGCACUUACAUACAUUUGAGAGUGAAGGGAGUUUAACGAGCGACCAGUGAGAGUGGCACUGAAUCGCCAAGUGGAGCGCGCGCGGGAAUGUUGCCUUCUCUCAUUAUCAGACACGGGCCCUCUCUAUACCAACCGGACCAAGCCCAAGGGCUUUGGGUUGGUUGCUCAACCGGGUCCAACUUUUCCAUUUUUUUACUAAUUCAAGUAAUAGAAGCUUUUUUUUAGAAGUGCAGAUUGUAGACCGAUAAUUUUUCAUUUUAAUUACUUAAAAUUAAUUUUAUAAAUUGAUCACAAAAAAAGUGGGUAAAAUAUUUUUUAAAAAAAAUUAUUAACAUGUUUUAGGAAUUUUUACUUUUUUUCUUUGAUUAUCAUUUUAAAAUAUCAACACAUAAUUAAAUAUUUACAUUACCCUUAAUAAUUAACUAAUUGUUAACAUUUUUACAUUGUAAUUGUUUUAGUAACUAUCAUUUUAUGUUAAUAAAAAAAUUCCUAAAUUUGCUUUAUUCAUUAAAGCUAUUUCUUACUUUAUUAAUCCUAUUGUUAAAACCUUAAACAACAUUUGGAUGGCAACAAAGCAAAGUAAUAUGACUUUUAAUUUUUUUUUUAUAAAUUAUCAUAUUUUUAAGGAGAGACAAACAUGUUGGAGUUGACUACCAUUAUUAUGAUCUUAAAAAAAUAUAUUUUUAAAGAAUUAGAAAAAUGAUUAAUAUUCCUUAAAAAAAAGAAAAAUUAUUAGUAGUGCCCAUUUCAAAAUUUUAUUGAUGAAAAUGAUAAUAAUAAUAAUAAUUAAAUUUAAAAUCAUAUUCUUGAGUUUCUUCUUAUUUAUUAUUGUUUAAAGUUACAAUAGAGAAGUUAAGAAUGAAUUGUGUUUUUUUAAUAUUUCAUUUAUUACUUUGACCAUACAUACAUUAAUUUUGAAUAAAAUAGUAAGUAGUAUUAUAGAAAUAAAAAAAAAAGUUUGAAAGUGAGAUAAAUUAAGUGAUAGAGAUAGAAGUGAUGAUCCUGACUCAUAGAAAAUGAGUACAAAUGAUCCCCUUGGACUAAUGAUGUUGUGCAUCCCUGAUCAACACGGCUUGCUUUCGACAAUAACGAUUAAAAGGCUUUUCUUUGAUGUGAAAGAGUUGAAUUUGGGUAAAGAAAAAACAUUGUGUAUCAUAGACUACCUUCAAGAGUUUCUGAGCACUAGUUUUAAUAAUCAAAGUUAAAUUAUUGUCAUGAUCAAUAAAAAAUAAAAGAAAAUAAAAUUGGCAAGACAAAGCGUGAUAUGUUGAAGAGUAGCCUGUCAUCGACUAAAUAAUAAUAUACUAUUAUAAAAUAUAUCAUUCUCAAUUUUUUCCCAGACGUCCUUUGUUCCUGGCUUAACCUGCAACCUAAAGAAUUGUCACAAGAGAAAGCAAGAUUUAUACCUUCUCUUUCUGUGUUCCUCCUCUCUUCAUUGUUCGCACAUUGACUAUAAUUAUAUUUACUUAUUAAAAUAAAGCUACAUUAUUUUCCAUCUUUGAAGUAAUAAGAUAAAAAAAAAAUCAUUAUAUUUUUUUUCUAACUUCGUUGUGGCCAAUAAAGAGUGGAGAUAAUGUACUGAGUAUACAAAGUUACAAACAACAUUACAGCAUUACUCAUGGUUGAUAUAAAACCUAAUUUGUUCGCACCCCGUUUCAAUGUUUACUCUAUACCUUUUACUUUCUUUUUUAUUUUAUCCUGCUUUUCUUUCCACCUAAAACUUUCUUUUCAAAUAUAUUAAACAAUUCAUUUUAAUUAAAUUAUAAAUUUGAACUAACUUAUAAUUUUAUAUAAAUAAAAUAUAAAUACUUAAUAUUUGAAAAAAAAAUCCCGUUUGAAAAAAUAUUUGAGCUUUUAACUUCUUAUUAUUUUUUCAUUUUCAUUUUCAGUGCUUAAUAAAAAAUUUCGAGGCAGACUUAGCUAAUGGAAAAGAUUAACUACAAAAAUUAAAGCUACCUUAAUAAAUAUAUAUGCAUUAAUUAAUUUCAUACAAAAUAUUUAUAAUUAUAUAUUUUUUAAAAAAAUUAUAAAAUAUAUGAUAAAAAAACAUAUUUUCUCAAUGGACAAAUUAAAUAUUUUUUAAGACUCAAUAUAUAUUACACGUUAAAAAAAAAAGACUCAAUAUUACAAAUGUCAUGUUGCAUGUUACCAAGAUUUAUAUAUUUUCUCAAUGCACUUGAAGUCAAACGCAUGUUAGAGUUAGAGUCUUAUAAACAAUGACCAUAAGAAUAAAAGUGAGAGAAGAAAAAGCAAAAUGUUUUCAAACAACAUGUGUUUGAACUGAGAGAAGAAAAACAAAACAAAAUUUAUCCUUGAUAAAAUGUCUUUAAAUAACAUUAUAAAAGUUCAAAAUUAACUUAUAAAACAAAUUAUAAUUUAUUUGAAAAUAUAUUAUUUCAUUUAAUACUAUUUUACACUAUUCCAAUGACAACAACCUUUAAUUAAAAAUAUUUUUUGUACUUUUAACUAACUUUUUUUAACUUGAAACUAACUUAUUUACUAUUUUUCUAAAAUAAUCAUUCUUUUUUUCACUGGUUUAGUGUCCGGGACUUGCACAUAUAUUAAAUUCAUUUUUUAUAAUUUAUAUGAGUAAUUUUUUAUAUUAUUUUGAGUUUUAAUAUAUUAUUAAUUACUUAGUUUAAAUUUUUAUAAAUAUAUAUUAGUAGAUGUGUCAAUAAAUAUUUAUAUAUAUAUAUAUAUAUAUAUAUAUAUAUAUAUAUAUAUAUAUAUAUAUAUAUUCCAAAAAUUAUUAUUAUUAAGUGUAUUGUCUUAGAUAGGAUCAAAUCUCUUUUUAUCUUAAUAAUAUCUUACAUGUUUUUUUUUAAAUGAUUUAGUUAUUUUUUUAUAACUAUUUUAUUGGUAACAUGUAUUGACUUUGUUAAUAACUUUAUCAAAAGCAAUAUGUUUGGCAAAUAUAACAUUAUAAAUAUUUUAUGCAAUCUUAUGUAAAUGUAAAAGAAAAAGACAAAAUGAAAGGAGAAAAAUUAAAAAGUCAAGCAUCUCACGUGUAUAAUAUAUCUCAUGUAUUGUAUAAUAAUAAAUGACAAUAUAAAACCAACACCUUCUAAUUUGUUUUUUUUUUAUAAUGAAAUCCGCUAGAAGCACGUCAUCUGAACUCAUCCGUGAUACUUGAUAACGUUUUUGCUCCACAUAAUUGAAGUACUCUAUCUUCACAUUAACCUUGAACAAAAAAAUUUCUCCCUUCAAAGAAUCUAUUUCCAAAGGAUACAAUUCAUCAGCUUCACCCUGUAAAUUAGAUUAAAAUAGUAAGUUAGUAUGACUAAAUAUUUCUUUUGUAAUAUAAAAUAACAUAGAACAUUUACUCUUGCAAGAUAUUUUUCUUGAAAGUCUUGAGCACUAAUUUGAAGAAAAUUUGCUGCUUGUCCAUCAAAUAAAGUGAAGCUAGCUGAAUCUGUACUGUCAAACAGCCUUAGUUGGAUGUUAUGCCUAAAAAUUUAAUAUGAUAUUAUAUAUUAUUAGCUGUGUGAAAAAACAGUUCAGAUUGAAACAAAUUAUAACUAAUGUAAAUCGAAUUAGUUUUUUUUUCAAACUAAUAAAAAAAAGAAAUACACUAUUUUAUAAAACUAAUUUGAUUAAUCAAAUUGUUUUUACAAAACUAGUUCAUUAACCAAAUUAAUUUUUAUUUAAAUAUUUUAUUUUAAAAAAAUAAUUCAAAAAUCAAUUUAAUAUUAAUUCGACUCUUGGAAUCAGUUUAAAACAAAUUAAAAAUUAGUUUAAUUUAAAAUUAUUUUUUUUAAAACAAACUCAAUCUUGAAUUAAUUUUUAUAUCAAUUUAACUAUUUAAAUAUAAAAUCAAAUUGAUUAAAACAGUUCGAAAAUAAUUCAAUUUAAUUUUUUUACCGAACUAGUUUUUAUACACCCAAUAUAUAUUAUUAGUAUUUCGAAAAAUUAGUGAGUUACGUUAACACAAAAGAUUUGUGUUCUUUGUCAUAUCUUCUAGAAUAAAAUUUAUCACCCUUCUCUUUCACUCCCACCAAGCAAUUCUUUACUUGAUAGACACGAUAAGGCCAUCUUGAUAUGCAAUCUACGUCCUUCACAAAUCCAUAUGUAACAACAUAUUCCACAAGUUAAUUAAACUAAAUACGAAAAUUAAUUUGUAACAACAAAAAGACUCAUGCAUCAUUGUCUAAUUCCACCAUAUGCAUGUUCUUACUAUAUAAUUGAUAGUUUAUAUCUUUAAAUUUGGAAAUAAUAACUAUGGUAAUUGAUCAAUUAUAUAUUUUUGACUAAUCAAUUAAAAAGAUUGAUUAAUUUUUAUAAAAAAAAACUUGAUUGAUCAAUCAAUUAUAUUUUUUGAAUAAUCAAUUAAAAAGGUAAAUUUUAGAUUUAUAUUAAUAAUUUUUUUUUACAGAAUUUAUAUUGAUAGUCAAUAUAUUUAAAAGUGGAAAUGAUAAUAAUUUAUAUAUUUGACAAUGAAAAUAAUUAUAAUGGUAAUCAAUCAAUUAAAUAUAUUUUAUCCAAAACUAUUGUUUUAAAAUGUAAGAACCAAAAUGAAAUUUCAUUAAAUAUGAAAGAAUCUAAAAUAUAUUUGAUCCAAAAUAAAUAUCUAACUACAAAUAAAGAGAAAAUCGUAUAUACGUGAAUUAAUAAUAUAAAAACAAAAUUAAAUUAAUUUAUAAUUGAGAAAAAUAAUUAAAUUUAUCUUCUGUAUAUUGAUAAUUUUUUUAAAAAUAAUUUAACAAUGCAAUGAAUAAUAUUAAAGAAAAAGAUUUUUGGGAUUGUCACUUGAUAUAACAAAACAGCGAGACACACUCGCAAAGUCGUUGCUAUGUUUGUCUCUGUCUCUCGCUAUUCAAAACAAACCCAACAAUGAACCCUUCCACAGAAUCAGACAACGCCAUUAUCAUCGACAUUGAUUCCUCUGUCAAAACACCAUCGUUUGUCGAAAACCACCCUAACGAAGAAAAACACCAACUCAAUGUUCCCUUCCUCCUCCGUCCAUCUUAUGCGACACACGAACUGCGAAACCUUCGCAGGAGCCUCCAAUGGUGUGCUCUCGACCACUCUUCCCUCGUUGGACAGCUCAUUUCCUAUGUCGUCUUCAUAUUCCUCACCAUCGCUGUCCCUCUCUUCACUUCUCUCUUCGUUCAUGUCCCCUCUUCAUCUUCUCAACUCGACCCUUUCAACUUCAACAAGCUCCUUCAAUUACCGCAAUCAGCCCUCGCCGUUAUCGCAUUCUUCACUCUCUCCCGUUUCUUUCCAAGGUAAAUAAAAUAUCACAUAAUGUAGAAACAAAUGUGUAGGGACAGAGGGACUUCAGCAUAUAUUGACACCUCACUUUCAUUCAAAUAUGUUCAUUACUUACUAUUAAACACACAAAGUUAUUUCAACUUAAUCAGUAGUCUCGAAUACAAGUCUCAAGUAUGUGGUUGGUUUAGGUAAGUAGUUAGUUAUCUUAAAUACUCUAAGAAAAAAAUUGUAUAAUUGGCGUACAUGACUCGAUCAUGAUUGGCUUCUAAAGAGGAUGUUUGUGGUGUAAUAAAAAACACACACCAUCUCAUAUUUACAUUGUGUUUAUCAUUUAAUUAGAAGUUAAUUCCACCUUAUAAUUCCAUUCUAAGCGAAUAGAAGGUAUAAAAUGAGUAUUUCAAGUUCACCCGUAAUAGAUUAUUUGAAGCAUUUCUUUGAAAAAAUUGUUGUUGUAACGGAAUCUUGAAUGUACGCAUGAGUUUGCAGGCAUGGCCUUAGGCAGCUUCUAUUCCUAGAUGUGUUACAAGAUGACUCAACGUAUGUUCGACGUGGGUACACGCGCGAGCUUCAGAAAGCGUUCAGAUACUUAGCGUGCAUGAUAUUACCUUCCUUUUUCGUAGAACUUGUUCACAAAAUUAUCUUCUUUUCUAGCGUCGAAAUUUCUAUCCCAUGUGGGACCUCUCUGAACUGGGUUGUGUUUGUUUUAGUGUUGGUUUCCUGGGUUUACAGAACGGGGUUGUUCUUGUUGGCGUGUGUGCUCUUUAGGCUUACCUGUGAGCUUCAGAUACUGAGGUUUGAAGGGCUUCGCAAGCUUUUUGAAGGGUGUGGGUCUGAUGCAAACAUGAUAUUUAGAGAGCACGUGAGAAUUAGGAGGCAAUUGUGGAUCACGAGUCAUAGGUACAGGUUCUUUAUAAUUACUUGUUUGGUGACAAUCACGAUUAGCCAGUUGGGUUCUCUCUUGCUGGUUUUGGAAUCCAAAUCUGCCACCACCUUCUUCAAUUCUGGUGACCUUGUGGUAAAGUUAUUGCUUCACUUCAAUAAAUAUUAUUGCUCUCUGAAUUCUUACUUGAUCAAUCACAAAAAAUUAUUAGGUAUGCUUAGACCACUACAUGUUCAUGAUCACAACUAGUCUUUAUCUGUGACAUGUAUCCAAGAAUUUUAAUUUAUUAUGUAGAAAUUAAUCGGGACCAUAACAGGUCUAGACUAGAUCACCUAAUAAUCUCUAGUCACAGACAGUGCUUAAAAUUAAGAUUGUUGAUUAUUUUUGUUAUGCAGAUUUGUUCGGCUGUGCAGUUAUGUGGGUUCUUCUUGUGCCUUAUGGGUGCGGCAAGAAUCACACAUAGAGCACAAGGGAUAGUGUCAAUUGCCACAAAGUGGCACAUGGUGGUGACCAAUGCAUCUGCUGAAUCUGAACACUGGAAAACCCAGAUGCCAGAGGGGCUACCCAGUCCUACUGCCAGUGAUUCAGAUUCUUCGGACAUAUACAUAUCAGUAACCACACAAGGACCUUCUUUCCAAACUAGGCAAGCAUUAGGUGAGCAUUAUCUCUAAUUUAAGACACAAUUAAAGUCUAUUUAUAGUAUAACACGAAAUGUUACUUCCUCUAAAAAGAAAAAAGUAAUGUUACUACUUAUUAUUAGUUGGGUCCCUUAACCAAAAUAGACUGAUUUAGCGAGAGAGGAAUUAGUUAGGUAUAAAAUAAAUAAGAAGUACCAUCUACUUUACGGUUCCACACACACACAAAAAGAUGUUUUUAGUUACUAGGAUAUCAAAUACAAAGGGUACUUGGUCACCAACGUAACACACUCUUUCCAAUUCAAUAUCUGGUGUUAGACUGUUAGAUGAAGUUUACGUGGGUUUCACUAAAUAAUAAAAUUAAACUCAUUAUACAACAGAUGAAACUCGGAUCACUUACUAACUCAUAAAUUUUAUCUGAUAGAAAAGAGUGUAUUCUAAACAUAGUGUGUUACAAAGUUUCUUGUUAAUAGUUUUCAAAACGUAUAUCCAUGGUUUUGGUUAGGAAACUAUAGAUUUGAUUUCUGCUCACGAACUGAAAUGAUGUGAAGAUCUGAAUUUUUAUCUUUUGAUUAUUGCAGUGACGUAUUUACAGCACAACUAUGGAGGAAUAACACUAUUUGGGUUUGUGGUUGAUCGAGGUUUACUUCAUACUCUCUUUGCCUUUGAGUUCUCUAUGGUGCUUUGGAUUUUGAGUAUGGUGGCUGUCUAGUCUUAAGUCUUAACCAAAUGAAGGGUAGAAAAUGCUUUGCGUGAACAGAAUGUGUAUAUAUAACUAUAUGUAGAUCAUUUUUUUUGCUGCAUAUAACUGUAUAUCAUCGUAGCUUGUGUUUAUUUCUUUUAAUUAUUAUAUUCACUCGUGUAUGUAGUCAUGUAGAAUUAGAAUUCGUUAUUUUGGAAGGAGAUUAACUUUUUUUGGUGUACUCUCCAAAAUAUAUUUUAUUUUAAAAAUUCAUCAUGUAUAUUUUGCAAUAUUUUUAUUUUAUUGUUAAAUUUUAUUUUAAAAUUGAUUUGCAUAAUUUAUAAUAUUAAACAAAUUUCUCUUAAAUAAAUUUUAAUUAAUCAUAUUUGUUUGCUUGUGCUUAAUUUGGUAUGAAAGAUUCAAAUAAAAGAUGGGUCCAUGGAUUCACAUUACAGGAAAAAUCAUAAAAAGUAUAAAUAAAAGAGGUGUGAAAUGAACAAUAAUGCCAAAGAGAGUCGUUAAGAAAAAUUGAGACAAAUAUGAUAUGAGUGUGACCCUCUUUACAUCGGAUUUGUUCCACGUAUAAGUGCAUGUCAGUGGCCUUUUCCUUUUGAGCUGGUUUUGGGCAUAUAAUAGAUUAUGUGUCAUCAAAUUAAAAUGUGAUGGGUGAGCUUUGCAUAUAAUUGAUUAUGCUGUCUUUAAAAAAAAAAAUCUUAACUUGAAAAACAAAGCGGACAAUUUUUUUGAGAAAGGGUGAAAUGUUUACAUGUUAUUUAGAACAAGUUCAAAUCAAGUAAAUUUUUUAUUUGCAAUCUUUGUCUCUCUUUGCACUCUUCUUCCUAUUUCUUUUUUCUUUUCUUUAUUUGCAUUGUUUAUAAUUUAAAUAUAAGCAAUUAUCUUCAAGAAUUAAUCAACUCUCUUGAAAAUUAUUGGCUUAAUUGCAAAAAAAUCUCCCUAUUUUUUUCAUUUCAUUAAAUCGGUCAUCUUAUUUUUUAAUUUAUUAUUAGAGUUUUUUUAUUUUUUAAAAUUUACUAUUUGAGUUUUCAUAGGAAAAUUGUUUAGAUUGGGUUCGUGUUACUAAUUUUGAGAAUUAGAGAUUUUUGAUAAUAUGAAGGUUGGGAAUUUUGGGUGAAUGAAGUUUAUAUUUUGGGGUUGAAUAAUUAUUUAUGAGAUAAUUGUUAGUUAUCUAAUUGUUGAUGAGGAUAAAUUGAACAUAAAGUAAAUAAUUAAUCAUUUUAGUUACCAAUGAUAUUUAUUAAACACAUAAAUAUUUUUUAAACAAUUAAUUAUAUGCCCAAGUGAGGAUAAGCUAGUCGUCAACCUUUAAUUUUUUCUGUACGAACUCGGAUAGUAAAUUUUGAAAAAAUAAGAAAAUUGAUUUUAUGAAAUAAAAAAGAGGAGACUUUUGCGAUUAAGCCAAAACUAUUUUACUAAGGAUUCCCUUACAAUAUUUUAAAAACUAUAACACAAUAUUAAUAAUUUUGCUUUGUGUUUAUUGUUAGCCGCUGCCGCUCUGCUCCAGAGCAUGACGCACCUCGUUUUGGCAAAACUAGAUGCAAGUUAUAAUUCAUUUGAUCUAAGUUAGUGAGCAUGACACAAUAUUAAUUCAUUUUCAAGACUUUAAAAUAAAUCACAGACAAGAUUCCCAUCAUCCCAAAUCUCCAUGUCCAAACAAGUUAGUGCAAUCACCUCUUCCCAUUCCAUGCUCUUCACAUUUUUUUCCUUUUAUUUUUUAUUUUCUAAUAACAUAAAUUAUAUAAUAUUUUUAAGGAAUUAGGGACCAUCAAGUUACUAAAAUAGUAACUCUAAAAGAGGGCGGCUUCUACCAUGAACCAGUGAAAAAUGUCAUUUUUUUUAGUUAAAAGUCAUUUUUAACCUUAACUUUACUUUCACUGUAACUUAUCUUUCCAUCCUUUGGUGCCCUCCCCCGCCGCUCGUCGGCCACCAUCGAUCAUACGAUAAUGAAACUGCAUAACCACUUGCUACGAUAAUGGAGAAGCUACAUGGACCAAGAUCCUUCAAAGUUAAGAUAUUGGAAGGCGACAACACAAAUCACGGAGCAUGCUUUAUUUUCUCAUUGCACCGUUUACUUCAAUAUUAAGUCCAUGUUCAAAUCCAUUGUCCAUCAACAAAUCUGAGUUUUUUUUUCAAAUCUGAAAUUGGUGAAAAACUGUGCUUUGAUUUUGGAUUUGUAACUUGAACGGCGGUGGUUGAUGGAGUUGAGGCAAAUUUCACCUUCUUCUUCUUUUGUGGUCUUCUUUGAGUUCGUCGGCGGUGCAGAAAGAACACAUGUGUCGUCGGUGUUGCGAGAGCAUGUGUGCCGAUGGUUGCACGGACCACCGUGAGAGGCUGCGCGGUGAGGACAGGUUUGCCGUUGUGGGAGAAAAACUUGUGUAAUAUCCCCAUUUUCCGAUGGAUAUUUUCUAGAUUAUGGGAUGGGAUGAAAGGAAGAAGAAAGGGAUUAAGUUGUCAUUUUACUUUUUUAUUUUAAUUGUAAAAUAAUUAUUUGCCUUUAAUCUCAGCCAUUAAAGUAUUAUAAAAAAUAAAUUCAUAGGCUAAUAUUAGUAAUGCACGCAUGAAUCAUUUGAAAUGCUGGUCCAUGGUAGAUGUCACCCUAAAAGAGUUAUUUUUCAUUUUCCAUCUUUUAUUUUCUUUUAUUCUAACCUUCCUAAUCAAUAAAUCGCAUUUGAUUGUUAAGUUAGAAGAAAAUGAAGGAUAAAUGUGAGAAAUAAUCUUGUUAUAGGAGCAAUUUGAUACAAAAAAUAUUUUUAAAAUAAUAUAACAUAAUAAUAAUAAUUAUGUGUGUUUACUUAAUAUAUUUUAAAAUUUUUAAAAAGUUAAAUCAAACCAAAAUAAAUCAUAAAAAUUGGGGUUGACUUGAUUCAAAUUUGAUAUUAUAUUUAGAUUGAAACUAACCAAUCAGCUUCUUUAUUUUAUUUGUUUGGUUUGAAUUUUUUCUCCUAAAAAAUUGAAUCAAAUCAUACUACGAAAACUUCCAAUUUACCCUAGUGGCAAACAAAAACUAGAGAAAAUAAUGAUUUGUUGUUUCUCAUUUUAUUCUUAAAAAAAAUACACCACUAACUAUUUGUUUUUUAUUCAUUUUGAUUCUUAACAUCAUUUGACACAAAUAAUAAUGAUUUAUUUUUUAUGUGCUCACAGUUAUUAACGAAACAUAGUCAUCAGUAGGAAAAAAAACUCUAAUACUACUUUAAAAACAAUGAAUGAAUUAGUACGAAUUGAUAUUAAAUGAACCAAAAAUAAUUUAUUUUUCUUUCUUUCAAUAGUUUGGAACAUUUUAGAAAGUGAAAGAAAUGAAAAAUAAAUAAAAUUUGUGAAACUUUUUCGGAAGUGAAAGAAUGGGAAAAAAAAUUGUGAGCAUACUGCCAAUUUCAAUCCAUUGGUUUCAGAGAAAAACAAAAGGAAAGACUGAAUUAUAUAAUAAAAGUUAAAUUAUUCAUACAAUAUUACAAAUAGAAAAGUGAUUUUUUUAAUUUUGUUUUUAUCAAAACAAUAUAUAUAUUCAUCUCACUUUUAAAUAUAUUUUAUAAUCCAAAGAAUUAAUGCAAAUAAGAUCUUCUUGUUUUUCACAUUUUUCCCAUGAGUGAAAAUAAUUUAUUUAAUAAAAAAAUCUGUGUUUAAUUUUUAUUAUAUUAGAUAAAUAAGAGUUACAUGCCACGAUAUUACAAGCAGAAUUAGCAUUCAAUGGUUGAGAGAGAUCCUCCUCUCUCUAACUUGGAAAAAAAAAUAUAUUCUACCUUAUAUUCAAAAUAUUAUUAAAGAAUUGAUAAAUAUUUUUUCUUUUAAAAAUCACAUUAAAAUAUAUUUUAGAUGUAUUGGUAAUAUUUUUUUAAUAAUUUUUAUUUAAAAAUGUUAGAAACACAUUAUAUAUAUACUUUCUUUUUUCUUUUAUCAGUAAAAAUUUAUUCAAAUUCAAAAAAUUGUGUCGCAUCCCAUUGAAUGAAUCUCUCUAUUAAUUUUGUACUACUAAUUUUGUCUAUUAUUUGACAAAUUAGUAAUAAUUUUACAAAUUAAUCUAACUAUCAUUCACUUAUUUAUAGUUUUUUAUUGUUGAUAAUUGAUAUUAUAAGAAAUAUAAAUUUAAAAAAUAUUAUAUUAAAAAAUUUAAAUAAUACUUAUUGUAAGAUUUUUUUAUACAACACAUUAUUAUAGAACAGAAAGUUAUAUGUUGGUCUUGGGUUGAUAUAUAAUGCGAUUUGUCGGACAUACCAGAUCAUAUAAGAUUUUUCUGUGUUUUCUUCCAAUCCAGAUAUUCUCUCUUUCAGUCCGAAAAGAAAAAUAAUUGAAUCAUAAAAAAUUUAGAGGGUGAAAUGUAAUGAAGUACAAUUUUGUCUAUUUUUUUAUUUUUAGAGAGGGUGUCCUCUUUCAUUUCUCUUGAAACAUUUACUUUUCUCCUUUAUUGUUCACCACCAACUACCUAGUGGCUACUGCUGCUAUACUAGUAUUCUGAAUGCCAUAGAAUUUAACACCAGUCAAGUCAUAAUCUCAAAUUUCCAAAUGUGCUGGAGAGUGGAACCUAAUUAGGAAUUACCUAACUGGCCAACCAUUAAAUUCGCAGCUCGUAACAUAAGAUGUCCACAUUCAUUGAACCUAAUUCUGUUUUAGCCACUUUUCUAAAUUCUAAUUCCAAUUCUUUCUGCAAUUUGAAAAUUUUGAAUCACACGCUUCAGUCAAGUGCUCUGCACAGAUAACGAUACCAACUCCAUACGUCCAGGUUCAAUGUAUCUUCCUACUACUCUCUACAUAUUUCCGUUCUUCAAAAAUGACUCCUUAAAUCAAGCACCAUUACUCAAAUCACAACUUUUAAAAGUACUUACAUAAUCUGUUAUCUAAAAAAAUUAUUUAGCCAGUUAAUGUAAUUAAUAUGGUAUUUAAUCAACAUAUUCUUAUUUGACUGCAAACAACAACAAAUAUUAAUUACGAUAACAUGUACUUUUUUUUAAAAAAAAUAUUAAUAAUUACCUAACUUAUUAAGACAGUAAUUUCUUAACAAAAUUAUUCUCAUUAAAAAAAUUUAAAUUGCAGUUAAAAAUUUCUUCAAGUAACUAAUGUUCAAUACCAAUAGUACUAACUGGCAAUACGGCCAAUACCUACUAAUUAAUGUGAAAUGCUAAUCAAAUGUUUUGUGUUACAACAUUGAUUAAGAAAUUGAUUUUUUAUCAAAUAUGAAAAACUAUAUUAUUUAUUGACAUUUUCAUAUUUUCUUAUAAUUUUUAUAAUAAAUAUAUUUUUUAUUUUAGUUCCUUAACUAACACUCUAAGUACAAUAUUUUUUUUUUAUAAAAAAACCUUGAUUAAUAUAUUAAAAUGUUAAAUCAAAUUAGUAAAAGUGAAACUCAGAAACAAAAACAUGUAAGAUGAAGAAAGUUUAAGAUGACACAUCACAUUCACGGCAUGGGAGAGGGGUGUAUGAAAGUGAGGCACGUGAUAGACAUGUUGUGUUGUUGGAGGAAGCCAGCAAGGACGUUGAAUCCGCGUGCCACCACACACACACACACACCAUAAAUACAUAUCUUUCGUGUGUGUUAUUUCUCACGCCUUCUCAGACUCAGAAAAGAGAAGAAACAAAACAAAAAAGAGCAGAGAGAGAGAGGAACCAUCACCAACCCUAAUUUCUUAGCUAAACCCUAUUCGUUUAGCAUUUCCUCUCUUUUCUCCCACUCGUAAAUCCUCUCCCAAACUUUUCAGAUCCAAAUGUAAGAACCCUUUUCUAUUUCAGGCAUUCUCGUUUUUAUGUCGAUGAUUGUUGAUUAGCAAAUUAAUUUGUUUCUAUUCCGCAAUAAAACGCUCUGGUCUCUCAGAUAUUUGUCCCUGCAGCUCACGACCACGAAUGUGGCGUUGAUUUAAAGCUUAGACAAUUAAUUGAAUCUUUUAAUGGUUAUUUCAACUUAUACAUUCAUUUUAUGAAUAUAUCACUGAUGCUGCGUCCCCCCCCCCCCCCCCUUCAGAAAUCAUGGUUUUCUGGGUUUUUGGCUACGGUUCACUGGUGUGGAACCCUGGAUUCGAUUACAAUGAGAAGAUUAUAGGUUUCAUUAAGGACUACAGACGCGUGUUUGAUUUAGGUAAGUCACACGAGCCGGUGAAAUUAUUUUUGCACAGCUUCCACAGUUUCUUAGACAUGGCGUUUUAAUUACUUUUUGCAGCGUGCAUUGAUCACCGGGGAACACCUGAAAACCCAGCAAGAACUUGCACGUUGGAGGAGAAGGAAGGGGCUAUUUGCGUAAGUGCAUUGUUAUGCCUUUGCAGUACUUUAAUUCUUAUUUGUUGAUUUGUUUUCUUAUAAUUUCUUCUAUCAUUCUGCAGUGGGGAGCUGCUUAUUGUGUUCGAGGAGGCCCUGAAAAGGAAAAACUGGCUAUGCAGGUAAAAUUAUUUUCACCUUAGACAGAUACCAAACUAACUCUAAAUGCAGCUUGCAAUAAUUUUUUGCUCUUAAUAGCGUGUGCCCUUUUAGAAAUUAUUGUUGUGUUUUCAGAACGAUAGAUGCUUUCUAUUUUGUUUAACUUGUGGCCUUUCUCGUUAGUAAUCUCUAUAAGCCAUAAUUUUAUGCCUUAUGAGGAUUAUUUUUGCCUUUGGUGGUGUUUUUUGUCCACUACAAUCUUAUCUUGCCUGUCUCUAUCCAAGAUCAGUGGAUUAUAAUUCCACUUUUGCCUCUCUCUAUGGUAUUUCAUUAGUGAUUUCAGACUACAUGUACUUUUUGGGCUUCAAUUGUCCACUCUUUUUGUUGUGUAGUAUUUGGAGCGACGGGAAUGUGAAUAUGACAGAAAGACUCUUGUAAACUUCUUCAAGGUGAGUUACAUGCAAUUUGUCAAGGUUUUUUUCUCUUUCCAAUUACUUGCAAGUGAUUGUUAUUUUAAUAUUUAAUAAUGGUUACUACUUCUAACUUGCUAUCUUAUUUAUUUAUUUUUGCAGGAAGGAGAUUCACUGCACCCUACUUUAACUGAUGUAAUAGUGUAAGUUAUUAUACAUUUUUUUAUGAUUUUCUUAAGCUUAUUCAUACCGAUAUAUAAGUUUUUGUUUGAAAAUUGAUUAUUUUAAGGAAAUAAUAGCUUAGUUUUUCAAAAUCUCUGACAAAAAGAGGCAAAAAUAUUAAAUAAGCUAUUAUUUUUCCGAAAUAAGUAAUCAAACAUGCACUAAGCUUAGUUUUUCAAAUUAAGAAAUUUAUUGUUUUAACAAAAUGAUAGCUUAGUUUUUCAAAAUCUCUUAUUCAUACUUAAGAGGACAAAGUACAAGUCUGCUAAAUACCAAUCAUGUCAAUCCACAGAUUCACAUCUACUCCAGACAAAGUGAACAACAAAUACUACCUGGGACCUGCUCCACUUGAAGACAUGGCUAGGUAUAUUAUUAAUUAUUAUAGGCAUUUUUCUCCCCAUUUUUAUAUGUGAAGUUGGCGACCUAUCCUUCGGUUGCACUAAUUUUUGCUAACCCGUUCAGGCAAAUAGCAACUGCAUAUGGCCCUUGCGGAAACAACAGGGAUUACAUUUUCCUUCUAGAAAAGGCCAUGUAUGAUAUUGGUAAGUUAUCUCCUUAACUUACACAUACAUAUGCAGUCAAAAAUUAUUCUCUGAAUGUCACUAGCUUCGCAUUUAAAUUUGCGGGGCAUUCUGAUGAGUCAAGAGGUUUGAUGUGCAGGCCAUGAGGAUGACUUAGUGAUAGAGCUUGCCAAUGAAGUGAGGAAAGUACUUGGAAUGGGAAAUGUAGUACCAAAGGAGAAGAAACUGGUUGGAGCAGCACAACUUCCACACCCUCCUCAUGUAACAAUCCCUACCCUUCAACUGCACCCACUGCCAGAACCUAUUGCAAUGGAUAUAUAGCUGAGGGGGGAGAUGACCAAAAACUGACGCUGAGUUCGGCUACUAAACUGAUUUCCUGCUAACCCUCAUUCAAAUUUAAAUAACAUCACAUAUCUAUUCCUCUUCGCCUACUUUUAGCGGCUUUCCAGCCAUUCCCUUGAGAUAUUGCUUAAAUUCAGUGAGGCGCAAUAUUUUGAAUUGGAAUGUUCGCGGAUAUUUUACUUCUGCAGACUGCAGUGUUAUUAUUGAAAAAGUUUCAUUUUUUUUAUUUAUUUCGUUUACGGCGAUCUUACACAGUUUUUUUUAUAUCAGUUCUGCAUUCAAUCUUACCGAGUUAAUAGCUAGCUAGUACUUCGAAAUGAAUAAUACUUCUGUUUUGAGCAAGUUCUUGUCUAUUUGUGUUUCGUGUAUUCGCGUUUGGUUAAAAUAUAAUUUUUUUUCUUAUUUUUUUAAAUCUAUGCUUCUAGGCUUCUUAUUUUUUAAUUAAGACAUUUCAUCUUAUUUUUAAAAAAUUUGUAAUUUUAGUCCUUAUAACAAAUUUUAAACGUUGAUUUAUGUACAAAUGUUUGUUUAUUAUACACAUGAAAAUGUUUUUUAAAAUUAUGUAAUUUCCAAUAAGCUUAAUUUAUUAAAAAAUAAUUAAAAAAAUACACAAUCAACAAAUUUAAAAUUGAUCAAGGGAACUAAAAUCACAUGUUUUUUUAAAGAGAGGAUAAAAUGUCUCAAUUAAAAAAUAGAGUGACUAAAAUAUUAAUUUUUAAAAAAAUUAAGAAAUAAAAUGUCUCAAUUAAAAAAUAAAAGAACUAAAAUUAUCAAUUUAGAAAAAUUGAAGAACAAAAGUUAUAUUUUAAUCUAAAUUUUAAUUACAUAAAAAUAAGUAUAACCCACGUAAGUCACACAAAAAUUACUUGCUAGUCUAUUGAAGACUCCUUAAAAUGUUUGGGUGUGAUAAGUUUUUAUCAUUAUUCUAAAUUGACUAGAAAAAAAAAUGUAAAUACUAAAUAAAGUGAAAUAAAAUACAUUACAUCAAUAUUCUUUUUUAUUUAUCUUAAUUUAUUUUGAAUAAUUUAAAUAAUGAUAACUGAUAUUCAGUUUAUUCAAUGAAUUAUUUUUCAUUAAAUCUAACAUUUUUUUUUUGCUUUGGGUUAGAGACUAUAGGUGUUGUAUCUCAACUCAUUGGAUCAAAAAGACUAAUUAUGCAUAAGGGGAGUCUAACUGAGUUAGGAUAAGAUAAUGUGUGAGUGUUGUAUACUCCUAAUAUAUUAUUCAAUUCUUAAAAUAAAAAAAUAAAAAAAAACUCCAUAAGUUAGAAUAUACUCAUGGGGUCUGACUACGAAAAAACAAUACCAUACCAUAUGACUAUGCUUUUAUUUUUUUGUUCAAUGGAUUGAACAAGAAACACACCCCAGGUCCAAAAAGCAGGACAUAAUUAAAACAAAUCACAUUAUUUGGUAUGGACAGCUCAAUUAUCCUAACAUGUCUAACUAUGCAAAAUUGCAACUGUCUUUUCAGACUUCGAAUUUCACCUAGGAGCUCAGCAAAAUCUGUGUCACGUUCAAAAUCAUCAUUAAGCAUUCAAAUAGCUUCAAAAUUAUCGGAUUCCGUAAUUAAUUUCACUAGAUGUGCUCCAACGGCAAUACAUACCAUAGAAGAUCGCCCAUAGUUUAGCUUCCACAACUAAACAAUGUUACAUAGAGGUGCACGCAGGCCAAUUUGAUCAAAUUAGUGUUUCAACCUAAUCAAUUUUGAAUAAGUUGGUUUAGAUGAAUUUUUCAAGAAAAAAAAUAAAACUCCACUCAAGAUUGACAUGUCUAUAAACGUUUUAGAUUAAGUUGAGUUAAUAGGUAAAAAAACAUUUAAAUUUAUUUGUUAAUGUAUUUAAAAUCUAAUAUUUUUUAUAAGUCAAGAUUUUUAGUAAUCUUUGUCACAUCAUUUCAGUGUGUUUUUAACUUUCGACAAGGUGUGAUUAUGAGUUGUAACCGUGUGAGAUGCAAUAGAAAAAAAAAUGAGAGUUAAAAUUCUAAUUUGGUGAGAAUGAUAAGUUAAAUCAUGAGAAUUAAGAAAAGAAUAUAUAGUUUGACUCUUAGUUACUAAGUAUGAUAAUAAUAAUAAUAAUUAAUUUUUAAAAAUUUCAAACUAUAUAUUAUAUAUAAAUAAUAAUAAAUAUUAUUUUAAUACACAUUAACAAGUUAAUGAAUAUAUAUAUUACAGUUCAUAAUUCAACCCAAAACUUGAUAGAUUUAAAUGAAUUAAUUUGGAUUUGAUCCAAAUAUAAAAAAUAUAUAAUCCAAAUAAUUUAAGUCAAUUUAAAUUCACCGAUAACCCAUAUUCAUAAAUAUCUUGAUGUUCCAAUUUCCUAGAAAAUGCUUCAACAUACCUCGUGGCUAUGUAGUAAUAAUAUGUUUUAUCCGUUAUUUAAUUUUUAAAGAAAAAUGAGAUCAAAUAGGAGUUGAUAAUUAUCUACACAAAAUAAAAUUUAAUAAGAUAAAAUAGAAUUGAUGAAACACAUGAAAUUGAGGAUGUUUUAUUGAGUGAGAAAAUUGUGUGACAUCAAAUUACUUAGGAAAAGGAGAAAAAAAGAUGAGAGGAAAAAUUAACUAAAAAAAAAGAAAAGAAAAAAGAAAAAACUUAAGCAACAAGUUGGUCUGCGAUAAAGAAGAAUAAGAAGUGUGAGAUCUGCUUUCUUUUCUCUUCUUAUUCGUUAGGGCACUCAACAUUUUACACUCUUUUCUUCUUCUCGUUGUUGCUUCGGUGUUGAAUCAUGGAUCAGAAAGUCGAUUUCAGUGCUCCGCAUUCCAUGGGAACCACUAUCAUCGGCGUUACUUACAACGGCGGUGUCGUUCUCGGAGCCGACUCUCGAACCAGCACUGGUACACUCAUUCUCCUUCCCAAACCAAUCCCAAAUUAAUUUAGGGUUUUCGUUUUUUUUCUUUUUCUUUUCUUUUGACCGUUUCUUUCUCUGGGCAAUUACACGCUUCUUUUGUUUGAGGAUUGAGAUUCGAUUCUUCCUGUUGCUUUGGGAAGUAAUGUGUUUGUUUAUUUUUUCCUCUUUCAGGAGUGUAUGUUGCCAACCGAGCAUCGGACAAAAUCACACAGCUCACUGAUAAUGUUUACGUGUGUCGCUCUGGAUCGGUAUUGUUCUUUCUAUCCCAUCAAUUUUGUGUAGAUGUCCAAAUUUUGUGAAAUUAUGGUGAUUUGUUCCUAUCAUUAUUAUUAGCCUGGAGUUGAUUUCGUGUUACUGUUAAUUUGGAUAUUUGUCUGCUGUGUCUGAUGUAAUUAUGCUGUUUCGCUCAUAAUGUAUGGUGUUGAACAUUAUUUUUUAAGGUUUGACAAUAUAGGGUUUCAAACACAGUUGUUGUUAACUGAAUGUAUUGGCAGAGAAUGAGGCCUUUGGCUGUUUGGUCUGUUAUUAUCAAUGUUCCCCUCGACUUCUUACAUCAUAUGUUGGUCAUUUUCAAAAUUUUCCCUUCACUAAAAGUAAUCUUAUCAAUGUCUGUGGAAUCCAUGGAUGACGAUUUGGUGAAGGUUCUGUUUGAACUCACGAAACUAAUAAUCUAAUAUAUUAUUCUUUGUUUGUUCUAGUCAUAUGAGAUACUAAACAUGCUGGCAUUAUAAUCUUGCAGAAGAUGACUGGAAUAUCUCGUACACUGUUAUUGUUUUAUGUCCUGAAAAUAACAAUCUGCAUUCUUUUUACAGGCUGCUGAUUCUCAGAUUGUCUCUGACUAUGUGCGCUACUUCCUUCACCAACACACGUAAGUGACUUUACUAAAAUAUGAUUUUUAAGGUAAAGUUUUAGACUAUGAUUUAGUGUGUACUUUUACAAUGAUUUUACCUCAUUGUGAGUUGUGAGUUUGUAUUUGUGUAGGAUACAACUUGGACAACCUGCGACAGUUAAAGUUGCUGCAAACCUUGUCCGGCUUCUCGCAUAUAACAAUAAGGUUUGACCUUGAUGCUUUUUCUUGGUAAUUCAAUUCAAUUUGCAUGGUUGAGUUUCCACCAAUAAUAAUAGUAACAGUGACAAGCAUCGUGUAUUUAAGCCUUUACUAUACUCUGAUUCCAAGUAUUCUCUUCUAUAUAUUUAUCUAUUAUUAAGAGACCAAGGCAACUGAUAUUUGGCUUUGUUAUAAAUUUAUUUUCAUUGGCAGAAUUUCUUACAGACCGGGUUAAUUGUUGGUGGUUGGGAUAAAUAUGAAGGUGGACAAAUUUAUGGAGUUCCUCUGGGUGGAACAAUAGUACAGCAACCUUUUGCUAUCGGAGGUAUCUCAUUGUUUAAAUGUAUUAAAGAACAAUUUCUAUUAUGAUUUCUUUGUUCAUGUUCAACUAACCGAGUGAGUAUCCCUAUAUACAUAUAUUUUCUGUAUCAAUUGCCCAUAGUAUUACCUUGACAUUAAGAUUUGACAUUGGGUAGAUCUAAUUUAGUUAAUAGGAAUGAGUGAUGCAUGGACCCUUUCAAAAGUCAUUCUUCAUUGUUUUUAGACUACAGAGAUAGAGGCUUGUAGAAAUCAAAGUCGGAGGACAAUAGACCCAAGAACACCCUAUCUCUGCUUUUCUGGUCUGAUUUGGAGGGAAAGAAGAAAAAUAAAAGGAACCUGAUAAAUUUCUUCUCUUAAUAUGUAUCUUUUAUAGUGUUGCUUAGUCUUGUAUAAUGGUGUAUCUCUUCAUUGGAGAAUGGUUGAUGUUGAAUUUGUUUAGUCUAAUGAUUUGAUUCUAAUGUAUCCCUUUUCCCUUUACUAGUCAUAUCAUUUCAGUCAAGAAUGCACAGACACUUCAAUAUAGUAGCCUUGUGUCACAAAAACAUAUUUGUGUCAGACACUUCAGAGACAAUUUGUAUAUGUCUACCCUUGUGAUUUAUUGUCUUUAUGACUCAUGCUUACUUUUAGAACAUGGAUUGCUUCUUUUCGUUUAAGAUUUGUAUUUUAUGUAUUUGUAUACAAAACUUAUGCAUUGCACUUAGCCCUAUCAUGUCCUAUGAUUUUGAAAAUUUUCCAUAUCCCUAUGUCCUUGUCUUAUUGUAUCUGUCAUUCUGUCUGUGUCAUAUAUAUAAUUAGAGAUGUCACUUUGGAAUAAGCCCGGAUCAUUGCUUGUUGAAAAUGUGUACAUGGGUUUUCUAUUGUUAUGUUUAUUAUUAUUUCUAAAUUUAUCAUUGCUAGCCUGUUAGCUUUUUCCUUGGGAUGCAUGGCUUUUGUUUGUAAAGCUAUGGUUACUUGAUUUGUCUUUUGCAGGAUCUGGGUCCAGUUACUUGUAUGGUUUCUUUGACCAAGCCUGGAAAGAGGGAAUGACCAAGGAUGAAGCCGAGGUGUGUGUUUGGAUUCUUACUGCUUCUCUUAUGUUAAAAAAGAAUGAUUUUAGGUUUUUAUAGUCAAUAAUAAUGACUGGCACAAAAUUGUUGUGGAUGUUAGUUUUGGGGACCUAAUCUGAUUUUCUCAUUAUUGCAACAAUAUGUUUAAGAUAAGAACACUGGCUAGUAGCCUCAUAAUUUAGAAGCUAUUAGAAAUUCUGAGUAAGAUAUUUUUUGUUCAAAUCCUUAUUGCUGAUAGUAUAUUUUGAUGCUGUAUGACAGGAUUUAGUAAAAAAGGCAGUUUCACUGGCUAUUGCUCGUGAUGGUGCAAGUGGUGGGGUGGUGCGAACAGUCAUAGUAAGACAUCUUGACCAGUGAUUUGUGUUUGUUUCUUUAUUUUCCACAAAGUGAGAAUCAUAGUAUAUCUUAUAAGGGAGGGGGACAACGGAUUGAGAAAGAGGCAUAAUGCAUUGUGGGAAAUUGAACCCACACUCUCAAUUUAUGUUUAACAAGCUGAAUUGACUCAAAAGGACAACUUGUAUUUUAAAAACAACUUCAUAUUUUUAUUCAUAUGCUCAAUGAUUUGAAAUCACCUGAUUUUGAUUUUUGAAAUCCUUGUGUAGAUAAACUCAGAGGGAGUGACCAGGAAUUUCUACCCUGGCGACCAACUUCCAUUAUGGCAUGAGGAAAUGGAGGCCCACAACUCUCUGCUAGACAUUCUUGGUGUCCCAGAGCCGAUGAGCAUGUGAAGUGAAGAAGUUUCUGUGUUCAUAAUCGUUUCCGGAUAGAUUAUAUCUUGUCACCUCUCCUUCAUGAACUAGUUAACGAUUUGUGGAGUCGAUUACAUUGUUUGGUUGGAUAUUGUUUCUGGUCAGGUUAUCCUUGUGUUAUGUACCAUGUUUAACCUUUGUUUCAUCAUAUAGCUCCAAAGUAACAUGUAAACUUUGGUGAAUUGGUGUUGAUACAAAGCAAUUAUCAAAUCAUUUUAAAUUCUUAUUUUUGGUAGUUAGUGGUACAAAGUAGUACAUAAUUUAAGUUUUUAUUAUUAUAAAAAAAUUGGUUGAUUUUUUAAAUUUAUUUGAAAAAUUUAAACGAAUUAUAGGAAUUUCUUUGAAUGACCUAUAAUGAUGGUUUCUAUUCUACAAAAAAUGAAAGUUCGAAAAGAAUUAUUUGAAGGGCUUAAUAAUCACGAUAGCCUAUACAUUGGACGAAGUUUUAAAAAAGAACUUAGGAUAAAUUUAAUUGUGAAUACAGUAAGAGAAGAAAUUAUAAGGAAUUAUGAAACUGACUGAAAUUUGAAAUUUAAGCUUAAAGCCAUAUAUUAGUACAAUGCGGCAAUUUGAGGGAUUAAAUGAGUGAUUCAUUGGUAUUCUUGAAGGAAUAAAAGUUAUAAAACAUCUCAAUCCUUAGUUUAAUAGUUAUAAAACAUCUCAAUCCUUAGUUUAAUUUAGAGGAUGAAAAAGGAAAGAAGGAAAAGUGAGAAAAAGGAAAGGAAAUAAUGACAGUGUUUAUUUAUCAGCUUAACAUCUCCGUCCUUUUCUUAAAAAAAAAAAAAGAGAAUUAUAAAUUUGGUCCCCUAGUUUAUUAGUUUUGAAUUUGAUCUCGUUGACAGGCAACAAAUAUCGAAGAACUAAAUCUGAAACUGAAAAUAAACUAGGGGACAAAAAUGCAAUUUUGCAAAAAUCUACAUCCUUGAUAUUAUUAAUUAGUUUUUUUUUUCCUCUAUUAAAGUUGUGUGAUCGAGGAUACGUGAUUUUGAUGAUAAAAAAAGAAGUUAAAUAACAAGAGAGUGAGUUAAGUGGCAGUAGAGAGAAAAUGAGCGUGAAGGUGAAUUGCGUGGGUGGCGACACUCAUAACGUCUUCGUGUACGGUAGUCUGUUAGCUGAUGAAGUUGUCCAUACCCUAUUGAAGCGCGUCCCUCCAACCGCACCUGCCAUCCUUCACGACUAGUUCAGUACUCUCUCUCUCUCUCUCUGUCUCUGCAAUUCAUUCGUUUGUUUAUGAGGAUGGGUUUUGUCGUUGCUCUAACUUGAUGUAUUUGAUUUGCAGUCACAGGUUUAAGAUCAAAGGUCGCGUUUAUCCCGCUAUUCUCCCUGUCCAGAAUAACAAAGUUUAUGGCAGGGUCUGUCUCUCUUCUUACAUAUCCCUCAUAAUUCUAAUAUAUGCAUCCAUCAUUUAAGACUAUUUUUAAUCAGGUGCUUCUUGGUAUCUCCGGAGUAGAACUAGAUAUUUUAGAUGAAUUUGAGGAUGUUGAAUAUACUAGAACUGAUGUUGAGGUUUCCUUGAAGGUCAGUUAGUCACUCUUGUUUAUUUCACUUUCUAUGAACCUAUAGCAGUAUAGGGUAAUAAUUGUAUAUCAAAUGAGGCAAAUGUUACAUUUCCCAAAAAUACAUACAUUAUUAUUAUUAUUAUCUAGAGGGCGAGCCCUGGUGCAGCGGUAAAGUUGUGCCUUGGUGACUUGUUGGUCAUGGGUUCGAAUCCGGAAACAGCCUCUUUGCAUAUGUAAUGGGGUAGGAAGUUUAUUAUUAUUAUUAUUGGAAUGCUAAAAUUAAUGGUACAGGACAAGUCUGAAAAGUUACAAGUUUGCGCUUAUGUUUGGAGCAACCCAAAUGAUCCUAACUUAUAUGCAGAGUGGAAUUUUGAGGUCAGCAUACAUGCCAUCUUUCUUAUUUUCAUUUGCUCCAAUUAAAAUAAAAUGAUUUGGGGGACAAAAGAGAAGCAUCAAAUGAUCUUCAAUGUUUAAAUGUAUGUAUUCUUCUGGUUUCUUCUUCGUAUGUGACCGAGGCCUUUGUUGGCUAUGAUUACUUGUGAUUGCAUUCCAAGUUUUAAAUUGCGGUCGCGGUCAUGGUUGCAAUUUUUUCACAAUCUUUAAUAUUCUGAGAAAUUGUGAACAUAUGUAGUUGAUGCGGCUGCAAUUUCAGUUGCCAUGUGGUCUUGGAGAACCUAAAUGUCUUGACAAUGUGGCCACAAUCACAGUUGCGGACUUCUUUUAUAAACCUUGGUUACAUUGUAAAACACUUUGAAUAAUUGGAUGAGAAUGUUUUGUCUAAAACCAUGUGUAGCAUACUAACAUGAGUAAUUGGGUGAUUCAAUUUCCUUGAUGAACAACUUAUGACUACUUGUUUUGUGCAUACAAAUAGAAGGCAGAUAGCAUUGUAGUAGUUAUACUUUGUUGACUGGUACAUAGUUAGCUACCUCCCUUUAGGUUUUCCCUUUACUUCCCUCAUGUUUUGAUUUUGGUGAAGAUUUUCAAACUUCUUAAUUAAAGAGUUAUGCCUAUAUAAGUGAUUGAAACUUCAUUGAGGUUCUUAGCUCAUUAGUAUAUGCAUAGUUUGUGUCAAUGUCGUUAAACUUUACAUGCUUUUUUUAAUUUUCGUUUCAAAUUUAAGUCCCUUUUCAUGCAUCCCUCCCUGUUCUAGAAGUCGUUUUUUUUCUCUCUGACUAUUCUGAUAUAUUUUUUUUUUUAUUUGAAAGGAAUGGAAACAAGUUCACAUGAAUGAUUUCGUCAAGAUGACUGAUGGCUUUAGGCAAGAGUUGGAGUUACCAGAAUCAAAGCCAAGAGUGCAGACUUAUGAAACCUUCUACAAGCAAGAAAACGAUAAGCCACUUGAACCUUGAUGUUUGCAGUUUGUAAAAAUUCUGCAUUUUGUGCACUGUGCAGAGUUGUAUGGUUCAAUUAAGAAUCAUACUAUUCACUGAAUAAUUAUUAGUUCCUCUCGAAUAAUUCAUUUGAUGAUUUAAUAAGCAUCUCAAUGCUAACGGUGACAAGUUUUCAGUAAUAUAUUUAUUUUACAUUAUUGUAUUAUUAUCUUGUACAGUCUUAAUACUAAUAUUUGAUUACCCCCUCUCCAAAUUAGAUAUCUAUAUACAUAAAUAGAACAUAAGUUGCAAGAUUAAUGAAUUUGUAAUCCUUAGUAUUUCAUAGUAGAGUGUCAAAAUGGAAGCCCUGUUGAAAAUAAAAUAAAUCUCCCAAUAUUAUAGGUUUAUACAUAGCUGGGGGCCUUUUUUUUAAGGGGUGGGAUGGGGGAGUUGCAUCAGCAUCACAUUUUGGAAGUUGGGAGUCCUAUUUGUAUCUCUUGAACCAUGACAAAUUCGUGCAGAAGGAACAUUUAAAGCAUUUUCAUCUAGGCUUAAAUGUGAAAAGUCUUGACAAGUUUAGCUGUGUUGAAGGGUGAAUUAGGAUAAAUUUCGGUAUAUUUCUCUUAUCCUUAUUCUCUUUUUAUCUAUUGAUUAUAGGAUAAAUUAAAUUUUGAAUUGUUUAUAAAAUAAAAAGUUUAUUUGAAGUCUGAACGUUUUUCUUUGAAUCGUUUGCAUCUGUCUUGACUGACCUUUUAGGACGAUCUUACCGACAUGAUACCUACCUUUCAUCAUAAUUGUCUUAGGAUAAUCUUUCUGCAAAUAAAAAGUUUUUAUCUAUUAAGUUUUUAAUUUAUUUUUGUCUUUCAAGUUUCCAUUCAGAAUUCUAGUAGGAGAUACCAAGUGUCAUAUAGGAUAAAGAAGAACGGGAAUACAACCUUUACAUGAAUUCAUUCUCUUUUUCCAUCAUGAACCAUCCAUUCGUUGCUUCUGUUCUGUGUUGUCAAUUAAUACUUCAUGUGCAGAAGAAAAGAGUAAGUAGGCACAAAGUUUUUUUAAUAUGAAACUGGCUAGAAUGUUACAGUCACAGAUCUGUCAUAAAUUUGAUACUACCCCUAUAGUUCUAGAUGUAUAAAACUCUUAGUAAUAUAAUUUAUACUGUAGAAUCCAAAACGAACUUGGACAAAUGAUGAAAACAUUAACUAUUACUUCUAAACAAAUACUGACACAAGCAAUCACAAACAGAAAGUGAUAGGUAAAUCUUAGACGCAGGAAAUGAGCUGUUUCAUAUCAAAAAGACGGGAACGGUAUGGUAUCCAGUUCAUGUAUCAUUUCAGAAAAUGAUGACGUCAAAAUAGCAUCGGAUUUAAGAUUCAGGCAGCAAUCUCUCAUCAUUUCUGCAACUGCUACAGUCAAGUGGCAUUGGAAUAUAGAACUUCGGAAGCCACUUUUGGCCACAAAUUUCACACCCUUUCUAAUUCCUGUUCCUUAAUGUGAGACAUGACCACUAAAUUCAGGAGAAGUUUGGGAUUUGUUGUCUCGAUCUCAUGCUGCUUGAGGUUAUUCCCAUAACUUAGUAGUUAUGCUGGUAUUUUAGAAACAUGUGUUAAGUGCUAACGUUACAGUUGUAAAUUUUUAUCCCUUUCUGUCCUCUCUACCUGACAAUAAACUUGGGUCUUCGGUGACCCUCGUCUCCUUAUUCUUGUUAGUGGUUUGCUAUAUUGCAGCGAAUCUGCUACCCACUCGACCUCAAGAUAGAUAAAAAUAACCAACAGAAAGGGAAAAGAGAUUACAAAAUUAAACGAGGAAACAACCCAACUCACAUUUUAACAAGAGGAAUCAUUGGUCUAGCUACAAAAGAGAUUUAUUAACAUGAUGGUUGUUACACAAAUAAGGCGAAAGAUUUAGCUUAAAAAAACGAACGAGAGAUUACAAAAACCAGAACAACACAGCACAAUGCAAACAAGAUUCAAAAUAAACAGCAGAACUUGAACAUGCAAAUCCACAAGGGUACCACCACCAUCACCACCUUCAAUUCAACCUCAUACACACAUGCAUAUAUUCAUGCAUGCAUGACUAAUAAGUUCCUUGUGUGGCCUCAUUAAUUCUACCCUGAGCAUAACUUCCAUAAUCCUUUGCCCUCUCCUUCACAUCCCUUGCCUUAUCAGUAAGGUACCCUUUUGCAUAGUCAAGGGUGUCAGAACCCGCAGGCUGGUUCCCAGAAACGUAGUUGUAAAUCCAAGAUAAAGCAGCAAUGGCAGCCACACCACAGCCCCCAGAGAACAAAAAGCCAGAAGCAACCAGGAACAGCACAAACGCAGCAGGGACAAGGAUGGGGCUGAAGAUAACAAGAAGAGGGGUUGCAAUGAUCAAACCUAUGACAGUGCCUGUGAGGGUCAACCCAGACAGGAGUAAGAGUGUGAUGCCAAUAGUUGCAGCAGUUAUGAACUUCACGGUUUGGCGUGAAGGAGGGUUGUUAAUGCUGCUGUUGGUCUCAUAGGUGGUUCCAUAGGGUGCUCCAUAGGAGGUUCCAUAGGAGUAGGAUCCUCUUGGUUGAUCAGUAGAAAUGGUUGCCAUGGUUGGUAUUUUUUCUCUUGCUAAACCAAGUGUUGAUGAGAGUAUUGAGUGAGAGAGGU